AUCCAGAGAAUUUAGCAGAGAUGCUUUAGUGCCUUCGGGAAACUCUGAGACAGGUGCUGCAUGGCUGUCGUCAGCUCGUGUUGUGAAAAUGUUGGGUUAAGUCCCGCAACGAGCGCAACCCUUAUCCUUUGUUGCCAGCACGUAAUGGUGGGAACUCAAAGGAGACUGCCGGUGAUAAACCGGAGGAAGGUGGGGAUGACGUCAAGUCAUCAUGGCCCUUACGAGUAGGGCUACACACGUGCUACAAUGGCGCAUACAAAGAGAAGCGACCUCGCGAGAGCAAGCGGACCUCAUAAAGUGCGUCGUAGUCCGGAUUGGAGUCUGCAACUCGACUCCAUGAAGUCGGAAUCGCUAGUAAUCGUAAAUCAGAAUGUUACGGUGAAUACGUUCCCGGGCCUUGUACACACCGCCCGUCACACCAUGGGAGUGGGUUGCAAAAGAAGUAGAUAGCUUAACCUUCGGGAGGGCGUUUACCACUUUGUGAUUCAUGACUGGGGUGAAGUCGUAACAAGGUAAGCGUAGUGCU
rnacentral:rRNA from 1 species